CUCUUCGGGAGCUAGUGGCGGACGGGUGAGGAACGCGUGAGAACCUGCCUCAGGGUCGGGUACAACAGUUGGAGACGACUGCUAAUACCGGAUGAGCCGAAUAGGUGAAAAGAUUUAUCGCCUAGAGAGGGGCUCGCGUCUGAUUAGCUAGAUGGUGAGGUAAAGGCUUACCAUGGCGACGAUCAGUAGCUGGUCUGAGAGGAUGAGCAGCCACACUGGGACUGAGACACGGCCCAGACUCCUACGGGAGGCAGCAGUGGGGAAUUUUCCGCAAUGGGCGAAAGCCUGACGGAGCAAUACCGCGUGAGGGAAGAAGGCUCUUGGGUUGUAAACCUCACNACUUAGAGGAAGAAAAAGCCUGACGGUACCUAAUGUACUCAUCGGCUAACUCCGUGCCAGCAGCCGCGGUAAUACGGAGGAUGCAAGCGUUAUCCGGAAUCAUUGGGCGUAAAGAGUCCGUAGGUGGCCUUCAAGUCUGCUGUCAAAGACCGAAGCUCAACUUCGGAAAGGGAGUGCAAAUGAAGAGCUGCAGUAUAGUAGGGGUAGAGGGAAUUCCCUAGUGUA
rnacentral:rRNA from 1 species